GUGCACCAGAAGUUAUACCAGUUCCCCAUAUUAAUUCCCAUUUUUACUUUGUCAGCUGUUAUUAUUUUACUUUCAGUUGAUUUUCAUAGAUGGGUAUAUGU